rnacentral:rRNA from 1 species
GACGAACGCUGGCGGCGUGCUUAACACAUGCAAGUCGAACGGGAAGGCCCUGCUUUUGUGGGGUGCUCGAGUGGCGAACGGGUGAGUAACACGUGAGUAACCUGCCCUUGAAUUUGGGAUAACUUCAGGAAACUGGGGCUAAUACCGGAUAGGAGCUCCUGCUGCAUGGUGGGGGUUGGAAAGUUUCGGCGGUUGGGGAUGGACUCGCGGCUUAUCAGCUUGUUGGUGAGGUAGUGGAUUACCAAGGCUUUGAGGGGUAGCCGACCUGGGAGGUUGACCGGCGACAUGGGGACUGAGGUACGGCCCAGACUCCUACGGGCGGCAGCGGGGGGAAAUAUUGCACAGUGGCCGGACGCCAGAUGCAGCAACGCUGCGUGCGGGAUGACGUCCUUCGGGUUGUAAACCGCUUUCUCCGGUGACGAAGCGUGAGUGACGGUAAUGGGUAAGGAAGCACCGGCUAACUACGUG